CAGUUUUCUAAGAAGAAAAUAAGUUGACCGAAGCACUUUCUAAUGUUCCUUUUAGCUCCAAGCUUCUGCAGCUCAACCAUGUUCCUUUUCUUCCAGAACCCUACUGAGUCCUCCAAGGACCAGUGUCUGGAAGCUGAUGAUACCCAUGAGACAGAGUUUCUAGUGUCUACUUCCUAGGCAGUUAGCACUGCCUUUUUUUUUCCCGCCAGGCUUAGAAUUCAUUAAUUGAGAAUGUCAGUUCACUUCAUUCUGCUUGGUUUUACCAGUGAAAAAUGGAAGGCAAUUAUUGGCAUAGAAAUACUUUAAUAAGCUUUAGAGCAAAAGGAGCUUUCGUUCAAAUUCCAGCACAACCACUUACUAUCUAAGGGACUUCAAACACUAAUCCAGGGUAGCCUCUCUUGUAAAGUGAAAAUAAACAUGUCACAUCACAGAAUUCUGGAGAUGUUUGAAUACCAUCCACAUCCCGACUGCAUUGAAGGACUCACCUGUCAGAACUCACAUUUCCACUCCACCCUUGGAGAUUUCCGCAACCACAAAGAUGUUCCGUGGAACAUGGAUGGAACCUCGAAUGUGGAACAAAGAUGCUCCUAGUAACUACUACGGCCAUAAUGACCUGCUUUACGGCAGACAUCAUGUUGGCGUGGGAUACAAAGACCAACAAGAUGGCGCUGCUCCCAGAUGACCAGCUGGAAGGCCACGGGCGUCGGGGGCGCCUCUCACAGGGACUGAUCAACUUCUGUGCAGACACAGGUGGGAUGCAGGAAUGCAAUGCAUAUGGCAUCCAUUAAACACCCCACAGAACCAUCUGCCCAGCGGCAAGCACUUGGGAAGAGGCCUUCUUGUACAGAGCUUUGCUGAGCAGGUGGUAGCUGCAACUUUGGCUUUCUGAGGAGUAGCAGUCCUGAGGCUGUGUACGAUGACAGUGGAGGUCACUCUUUGCGGUGUUCAGUAGGAGAGUGGUGACAGUGACCACAGUGAUGGGAAUGGUUUCUCUUCAGGCCCAUUCUGGGAUCAGGCCUGGGGGCUUUUUUCCCUGGACACUCAGUAUCGGAACCCCUGCCAACGUUUUUCAACGAAUUGCUGUUCUGAAUGCUGUACUUGGAGCCGUCCUCGACUGCUUUUAGGAACUCUGCCUGAGACAGUAGAGGAGAAGUGGUGACCGCGAUGAACACCCUGAACACCCUUCCCAAGUAUUUUCCCUGUCCUCUUCCAUGUUUAGUCAGGGUCAGGGCAUGUGACCAAAAAAAAAAAAAAAUACAGAGGAAAUAACUGUGUGGCUUCCCCAGGCUAGUUUAUGAAGAUGUAGCUUCUAGGUGGGCUUCCUGACCUUCUCUGGGGGACACCAGCCGACAACUUGUGAGAAAACUGAAGUAGCACUGUGGCAAUGCUAAAAUGAGGAGGACCCACUUGAGUGCUGCACGAGUGAGCCACCUCAGAGGGAUCUUCCUUUCUCCCUCACCGGUCAAUACACAGCUGCCCAACUGUGCUACCAAUGAACGCUUGACUCGCAGAUGCUGUGAAAGCAAGGAAAUAUGGUUAUGUUGAGCAACCAAGUCUUGUAAUAAUUUAUUAUGAAGCAGUAGCUAAACCGAAGCAUAGCAUUUGCAGAUGGUUUGUUUCUGUAGGGCAAGGGAAAACUGAACCUGUUCACAAUAAAAAGAAAGGGACAGAGCCCAUGUAGAGGAUUGCUGGUCUUCGAGAUGAACUAAGCAGAGCUCAGAGAGGGAGGAAAGGCAGGAGCGAAGGGAGGCAGAGGGAAGGGAGGGAGGGAGGUGAUCCAGCACAUGGGCAGCCUCGCAGGGAGGAGGAACUUCUCUCUUUGGGAGGGGAACAAGCAGGAAGAAAUACGUUAGCUAGGAUCCGGGAUGAGCGUAAAAGAGAGGUCCGAUGGCAAAUCUUCAUCUUCCCAGGAAGAGGGGUGGAGCAAGGCAGUCUGCAAAGACGCCCAGGGCUGCGAGCGGGUGGGUGCACCCCUAAAGCUGGCAUUCCUUCGUGUGUACACAUGUUUGUGUCAGAUGUCACGUUCAGACCCUUCCCCACAUAAUCCCGUUUAGCAAUUCUACCAACUCCCUCAGACAGUGCCACUGUUCUCUUAACUUUGUAGAUGAAGACGCAAACUAAUUUCAUUAGAUGGGAGUUAGAGAACAGAAGUGCUGAACCAGUUAUGUCAGACACCGAGAGAAGUCCUCAGCACUGCACACUUUUUGAGUGGUUUCCUUACAAACACCUGCUCCAUGAAGUUUAAAAAGUGACUCGAUGUGAGAAGAGUCAAAUGGAAGAGAUGUUUUAAGGAAAAUAUAGCAUACCUAACCUUCACAAUUUUGACCACAGAAAUAGUCACAAAGAUAAACUCACUUUUUCCUAGCUGUUUAAAUAGGCUUCUUAAUGGCUACAAAUAGCAAGGUGUGUCAGGAAACGCACAGUAGGCCCUGCUUUGCAUGGCAAAAUGUCAUGAAACUUCAGAUGUAACCACAGAGUUACAUGCAUUCCACUUCCUGGUGAGAGGGAGGUAAAGCUAUCCAGGAGGUUUGUAGAGUGGCUUGAGAAGGCUGCUUUAUUAAUAUCCAAUGCUCUGUAUUAAAGUAAUAUUAAAAUAUGUGGGAUUACUUGCCAGCCUCUGGGUUAGAAAGUUGAUUUAGUCUGUAAGAGGUCAAAGUCAGCAAAAUAAUCAAAGGGAAGCUUGGCUUCUAAAGACGGAGCUGGCAAGGCAUUUUAAGUCUAUGCCGAUUAAAAUCAUAUGAUACUAGGGAAAGGAUUGACAACUUGGUGAGCGUCAGCUCAUUUUCCUAGGAAGUCCCCAGUCUCAGGUACUGCUGUUUUUGAGCAAGCAUCCUUUGAGGUGCCAGGGAGUUUGACUACGCAGGCACACACCUCUAAGUGCCACUUCUCCUCACCUCAGAUCGGCCCUCACCACUCUUCAGACCACCCACCUUCCUUGUUCCACAAACGCUCGUAGCCCCUGUCCUGGCACAGCAGAUCUGAGACGGACCCCUACCCCCACCCCUGUCUCUAUGCCUGGCUGCCUUGGAAACAGACCCUCCCUCUUUUGUGAACAAUUGCUCAUUUCAGCAGUUGGCGUAUCGAGCAGUGGGCAAAAUGAACCUGAUUUGGUAAAGUACACAAGUAUGUCAAUCAUAGCGGGUAGGUUUUAAAAAUCUAAACCUUUUCAAGAGGAUGAGAAUGUGUAAACAAAAUACACAGUUUUUGUCAUGUGAGAACAUAAGACCAUUAAAAUCACAUUGAGG
ensembl:lincRNA